rnacentral:lncRNA from 1 species
AAUAUAUUCUCCUGAGUAAGGUAAAUAGGUACAAGAAUUGCAUCUCUCUAGUAAUUUUUUAGUAGAUUCAUGGUAAACAUAAGGGACCGAGCUACCUCCAAUAUGUGUCUAUUUUUUUUCUUAGCAACACCAUCUUGUUCACUAGUGUAGGCACAAUUUAUGACAUCCCCAAUGCUAAUUAAGGCAUAAUGGUGCCAGAUACAAAAAUAGAUUACAAGUGCAUGAUAAAAUUUUAUGUAGCGUAGCAAAUUAUUACAAAUCCCUUACCAAAAUAUAUGAGUUCUAAUCACACAUAUAUAACUGAGGCCAGAAGUGGCAACAAAAUACAAAAUGUCAAAAUACAAAAGGGGCCACUUCUAUCAUUAUGCGAUUGGACUCAUUAGAAUGUCGGACAAGUCAUUCACUCAAGGUUUAUGGAUCCACGGGAUCCUUAUAGACUUCAAGAGGUAAGUUAGCGAUUGGUUUCUCACUAUCUUCCUCAUCUGGGGGGCAUAGAAAGGGUGAGUUCUAUAUACUCAGUAAGAAAAAUAAUAUUUAAAUAUCAUAAGAUUUUAAAAGUAAAUAAUUAUGUCAUUAAUGCUUACCAAUAGGUUAUGUCGGGGUCCUUUCUUACUUUAUAAAAAUAAUUUAUUUAUUACAAAAAAAUAUUAAAUCAUAGUCACAAUAAUCAAAUAAAAAUCAUAUUCAACAAUAAAGAAAAUCAAAUAAAUCAUGAAAUGCUCAUAUUUCAUGUCAUGCUUCAUGAAGUCGUUCUGACUUCAAUCUCUGAGGGCAGAUAUAGAUUUCCGACAACCCAUGUAGAAUGAUCAUAUCAGACAUAAAUAAUGGCAAUUUGCUCAUACACAUUUUUAGCUUGCCAAACCAUGGUAUGAUCUACGACCACGGCCAUACCAGCCACAGUGGUCCUAUCAGAUAUUCUAUUAUCACGACAGUACUUAGCCAAAUGUGACCCCUAAUAGAUAUUCACGUCACCGCUCUCAUCAUAGGGUACGUCGUCAUCCAUCGGGAGUGGUCCUCUCACAUAUUUCCAAACCAAAUAGGGGAGGGAGAAACAGAUACCCCCUUAAAAAUAAAAAGCCUAACGAGACACUUGAUAUAUUAUGCAUAUCAAUACAGAUACAAAUCAUUUUUUGGACCAUUCAGGCUCAUUUAAUUUCUUUUUCUUUCUUUUUCUCCCGUUUUUUUAUAAAUAUUUCAGAAAAUUGAUACCGGAUUCAUAUUACUUAAUUUACAUGCAAAUCAUCAAGUUCCUAUAAAAUCAUAUAGCAUGCUUGAAAUCGAGAACAGAUCACUUAUUAAACAUAAAACAUACAAAACACAAAACACAGACUUCAUAAUUUGAUUUUUCUAGAAAUGCUCCUUAAGAUGUUUAAGGAAAUACUAAAUUAUUUAUCGAAACCUCAAAGUUUUCCUACACUAUUCUUCUUUUUCUUUUCUCCUUCUCUCUCUAGAUCACUCCCUCUCUCUUUAAGCUCUUGGAAGAUGGAAGAAUGAAAUGGAUGUGAUGAAGAAAAAAAGAAAGGGGUCCUUAUUUAUAAAAAAUAGAGACUGUUGGAUUUACACCAAGUGGAAAAAUCUGAUGAGGAGAGAGAGAUUUAAGUGGAAGAUGAACAAUUUAACAUGAUGGGAUGACGAUGCAAAAAAAAGAGGAAAAAUGCCUCCACCGACAAUGGCUCUCCAACCAAGGCGGCAACACAAUGCCCAAGGUGGUGCACAGCACCCAAGGGGGCGGCAGCACACUGCUUGAGAUGACAGUGCACCUCACCUAGCCUGGCCGCGCGCUGCAGGCCUUUUCUGUAGGCGUCGGCCUACCUUGCUGUGCACAGGCUUACAGUGCGCAGGGCGCUGUAUGCAAGCCUACUACACGCUAGCCUCAAGUGCGCAAGCCUAUCUCUGUAGGCUUAUUGUGGGGAUAGUGUGCGCAUAGUGUACAGUGCCUGAACCUGUUUGCGCGUGAUGUGUCACAUGUGGACUGACUUGUCUGUGAGCACGUGACGCGAGCGUAUACCAACCCCGUGCCUUGCACGGAUGGGAGUGCGCACUGUGCGCACGUCCUGCACUUGGUCACGCGCACAUGCACGCACGCAGUGUGCGGUGCUCGUGCGAGCGAGCCUCUCCCACGGGUGUUUUCUUGCUUGAUUUUCCCCCUUUUUUUCUGUUUUCUCCUGAAAAUUAUUUCUUUAAAUAAAAUAAAAUAAAAUUAAUAAUAAUAAAAAAUAAAAUUAAAUAAAAAUGAAAAUAAAAUAAAAUAAAAAUAAGAAUGAAAUAACAAAAUCAGUAUAAAAUUCAAAUUACAAAUUUAAGUCAUGAAUUACAAUAUAAAGCUAUGAAAUAAUUUAAAUGAGUGCAGGUGGCCUUAAGGCCCGAAUAAAUAGAGAUUUCUAGUUACAAAUUUAGCACGGUGGUGAGCGAGGUGUUAUAUAACUCGUCUGAUGGAUUAUCUUAUUAGACUCUCUAAGUAGUAACGAAAUCCACCGUCCAUAUAUUCUAUACCAUUGUUUGUUCUUCUAAUGUUAACUUUUGCAUCAUACUUCAUACAUAUCAUUUUAACAAAUGAUUGAAAGUAUGAAAACAUAUCACUCAAUUUCUUUGUUUUUAUCAUUUUCUAAAGUAACUAUAAAUAAAGAAAGAAUAAUACCCAAUAGUUAAUCUCCACAAAAUAGUAUAAACCCUUUUAAUAGCACCAACGGAGGCUGAAAAACCAUUGUGAUCCUGGGAAGAUCAUCAUAAACAGAUUUGUCCAAGAAGGCAACGGUGGUAGAAGGCUGCUCAGUUUAGCAGAAGGACCAGAUUGGGUUAAAAAAAGAUGAGUUGUGGUAGCAAAGUUUGAGAAGAUGGUUGUCGCACAACAUAGGGAGAGCAAACGGCCAACACAACUAGAUCAAAGUCGCAUGGUGGAAGAAAAGCCGCUGGUGCGUGAUGUGACGUGAAAUUAGAACCGCCAGAGAAAAGAAUUUGCAAGAUUGAUGAUCAUGUGAAGAACCCAAAUAGAAUUGCAUGAAACUGGGUCUGUGAACCUAAAUUGCAUGUGCCAAGGGUAGACCCAUUUUGAUCGGGAUUUUCUGGCGGAGAUGUGAUGAUUUUUGGAUCAGAUAAGGGAUUUCUAGUGGCGUGUGUGAUUCAUGCACUUCUACUACUGGCAGUGCAUGUGGUUCACGCACUUAUGCUAUCGGCAACAUGUGUGGCUCACACGCUCUAGAACUGGUCACCGAAGGCAAGGGGCAGGCAGGUGGUGAAAAUCAGACUCCAUCUUGGGUGGUGGUGAGAAUAGAUCUCUAUAAGUGGGCAGCAACUCAGCUUCUUAUUCUAUUUUAAAAAUUUGAAAAAUCCUAAAAUUAGAACUCUAAAUAUUCUUAUUUAGCUCUAAUACCAUG